AAGUCGUAACAAGGUUUCCGUAGGUGAACCUGCGGAAGGAUCAUUAACACUAAUGCUAUCCAAAACCUUUUGGAUCAACCCAACCUUAGCGAACCGUUCGUUUUCAUUUCCCUUUUUGCCCUUUUUAUUAAACGCAACCAAUCUGAUGUAACGUGUCUGAUUCUUAUUCCCGUUUCUUUCCCUUUCGAGGGGGAGGGGCGUUUGGAAUCAAAAAUCUAACGCAAUACAACUCUUAACAACGGAUAUCUUGGCUCUC
rnacentral:misc_RNA from 1 species